rnacentral:rRNA from 1 species
GCGAACGCUGGCGGCAGGCCUAACACAUGCAAGUCGAACGAACUCUUCGGAGUUAGUGGCGGACGGGUGAGUAACACGUGGGAACGUGCCUUUUGGUUCGGAAUAACUCAGGGAAACUUGUGCUAAUACCGAAUGUGCCCUUCGGGGGAAAGAUUUAUCGCCAUUAGAGCGGCCCGCGUCUGAUUAGCUAGUUGGUGAGGUAACGGCUCACCAAGGCGACGAUCAGUAGCUGGUCUGAGAGGAUGACCAGCCACACUGGGACUGAGACACGGCCCAGACUCCUACGGGAGGCAGCAGUGGGGAAUCUUGCGCAAUGGGCGAAAGCCUGACGCAGCCAUGACGCGUGAAUGAUGAAGGUCCUAGGAUUGUAAAAUUCUUUCACCGGGGACGAUAAUGACGGUACCCGGAGAAGAAGCCCCGGCUAACUUCGUG